AAACCAGCACCUCAAGUGGUCAGGAUGAUUAUUGGGCCUAAAGCAUCCGUAGCCUGCUGUAUCAGUUUUCGGUUAAAUCCAUGUGCUCAACACAUGGGCUGCCGGGAAUACUGUACAGCUAGGGAGUGGGAGAGGUAGACGGUACUCGGUAGGAAGUGGUAAAAUGCUUUGAUCUCUCGAUGACCACCUGUGGCGAAGGCGGUCUACCAGAACACGUCCGACGGUGAGGGAUGAAAGCUAGGGUAGCGAACGGGAUUAGAAACCCCGGUAGUCC
rnacentral:rRNA from 1 species